rnacentral:rRNA from 1 species
UGAGGAAUAUUGCACAAUGGAGGAAACUCUGAUGCAGCAACGCCGCGUGGAGGAUGACGCAUCUCGGUGUGUAAACUCCUUUUAUGAGUCAAGAAAAUGACGGUAGCUCAUGAAUAAGCACCGGCUAACUCCGUGCCAGCAGCCGCGGUAAUACGGGGGGUGCAAGCGUUACUCGGAAUCACUGGGCGUAAAGGACGCGUAGGCGGGUUAGAAAGUCAGGUGUGAAAGCCUAUGGCUCAACCAUAGAAUUGCACUUGAAACUUCUAACCUAGAGUAUGGGAGGGGCAGAUGGAAUUAGUGGUGUAGGGGUAAAAUCCGUAGAUAUCACUAGGAAUACCUAAAGCGAAGGCGAUCUGCUGGAACAUUACUGACGCUAAGGCGUGAAAGCGUGGGGAGCAAACAGG